rnacentral:rRNA from 1 species
UACGGAGGGGGCUAGCGUUGUUCGGAAUUACUGGGCGUAAAGCGCGCGUAGGCGGACCUGCAAGUCGGGGGUGAAAGCCCGAGGCUCAACCUCGGAACUGCCUUCGAUACUGCGGGUCUCGAGUCCGGGAGAGGUGAGUGGAAUUCCUAGUGUAGAGGUGAAAUUCGUAGAUAUUAGGAAGAACACCAGUGGCGAAGGCGGCUCACUGGCCCGCUACUGACGCUGAGGCGCGAAAGCGUGGGGAGCAAACAGG